rnacentral:lncRNA from 1 species
UAUUAAUAUCUGAAUAGAUCUAAGGCAAAUGACCACUUAAGUUGUGUUAACUAAUGUGCAAAUACAUUUAUAACUCAUUCUAAAUUUAUUAUUUCAGAUUUCUCUAAAUUAUAGUGAUUAUCCUUUUAAAAAGUUAAGAUAAUGUGAGCAGUGAACACCAGAUACAAUGCCUCUUGGAGGUGGAUGUUUAGUACCUCCAUAUACCAACUGAAAAGCAUUAUUUUCUUGUCAUAUGUCACAUUAAAAAGUUCUCAUGUAUUUGGAAGACUCCAAUUGCUUGUGUAUUGUGAUGAUUGUGUAGUUAUAAAACCUUAAUGAUGGGAAGAUUUGGGCUUCAGGGAUAAUAACGAAGUUGCAAAGAUACGAUACAAAUAGAUAAAAAACUUCUUAAGUUCUUGUGGAUUGUAUCUUGACUAGAAUGAGUGGCAGCUUGAGAGAACCAAACCAAAUUGUGUAAUUAAUCUCCAAGUAAAAUGACCUCUCAAAUUGUCCUGUCACCUCCCCCCCACCCGCCNACUGAGUUUUCUGAAGCCUCUCAUCUUAUAAUUUAUAAGUUGAAUUAUGAUAAACAGCUGAGUAGCUUGUAUGGUCUUGUUUGUAGUCUCUAGACACACGGCAAUAUACCUUAGUAGCUUGUGUUAUUAUGAAGUUCGAAAUUUGUUUAUUUUCCAUUCUUUAAGAUUCCAUUUAUCUUGUUUUGUUGAUAAUGUAGAUUGCAGUAAUUUCAGUGAGUGGUGAACAAUUUUCUCUUUCUCGCUUACUAUCUUUUAAGCAAUGAACUUCUUACUGUUCUUUUUUUUCUUUUCUUUUUUUUCUUUUUUUUUUUUUUUGCCUUGUAGACAAUUUUUGACAAUAUUCUAAACCGUAAGAUACCUUGGCCUCAAGUACCUGAAGAGAUGAGCUAUGAAGCCCAAGAUCUAAUCGACAAGUAAGAAAUUAGUCUUGUGUUUAUUAUUUUAUCUGAUUUAGUGGCAUGGUCAUCUAUUGUCUCCUUUAUUAUUAUUAUACAAGUUCUCCAUUUAUUUUGUGAAUGAAGUUUUUUAAACUUAAUCUAACUAGUUUGAUGUUUCUAUAAUUCUUUUGCAAGUUUGUCAUUUACAGCCACAUAGUUGCAUCGUUUCUUCAAUAUAAGCUUCUUUCGCAUGGCUACAUUGCAGAAAAUUGAUUUCUUGCAUUUCCGCCUGCUCCUACAAUGUGUUCCACCAUUGAAAAUUUUAUUAUUAUGGGCAAUGCUUGUUAUAAUUAGCUGAUUUGUAUUUCAGAAAAUGGGACUCGAAGUUUAUUUACUUGAACAAUCUAAUGUUAGAUACUUAAUUACCAAACUGAAGCAAUUUUCAUGUUUUAUUUUUUUCCUUUCUUUAUUGUAGGCAGAGGAAUAUUAACUAUUAAGAUUGGUUCAUUCAUGAAAUUCUAUAGCAACCUUUAUUUGGUAUAUGCAUGAUUGUCUCCGAUUAGGACUUAGGAUGUUCUUAUUGAUAAGACUACAAAAAAUUAAAUAGAUGUUCUUAUUGAUAAGACUACAAAUAAUUAAAUAAGUACUCACUUCGAUGUCUUCCUCAUCAUAUGCUUGAAUAAGUACUUACUUCGAUGUCUUCCUCACCAUAUGCUUGAACAAGAAGUUGAACUAAAUUCACUUCAUGGUGUGCCACCUGCGGCCUGCUGCUGCUUUUGGAAGCACCAUAUGGUAUCAGAGAAGUAUCUAAGUGUUUCUCCAUUUGCCACCUGCUAUCCUGGGCCACAAAACUGUGCACGUGCUGCAUGCAGAAGAACACAUUUGAUCAAGAAAGUGUAUUCAGUAUUCUCCUAGUAGCUUUUGGAAUAUUUAUUCUUUUUGGAUUUGCAGGAUAAUUGGGCCAUCUAGUUUAUCAUAUGGGUUCUUAUUUGAUGUCUGGAGAUGAUAUGUAAGCAUGGGUGCUGAAACUUGGUUUCCUAGUUAUUUCAGUAUAUGAUUUAGUUGGACAUUGUGUUUCUUGUUAGAUUGUCCUAUAUUUAGGCCUUUUAAGUCAUAUUGCACUUCCAUUUGAAGUUAACAAGGGUUUGAGAGGACUACUAGUUAAUGGCUUUUCUUGGCAGUAAGGGUUUAAGGAGGUAGAAAUUAGAACAUCGAAAAGUGCCUCACCUUCUUUCCUGCUUGGACCCUUAAUCUGCAAAAAGCUCCUUAAUAAUACUUUUUUAUUUUAUUUUUUUAUCUCAGUGAAAUUUUCAUAGGUAAUCAACAAGUCUCAGAAUGUUCUCCUGUUCAGUAAACUUUAAAUCUGUAAUCAACUGAUUGCGGCCACGACAAUUACUCUUAAGUCUCAGUUAAGUCUUUCCUCGUAUAUGAGAAUUAACAGCCCCGACUGGAAGAAUAGGCAAAGGUUCUUCUCCAUGGGCUUAUUCAUUUGAAAGCAGUCUACUUAGGCCAAUUGCCAAGAGAUAGUUAAUUCAAGAUCGGAUUACUGGUUUGGCAACAGAUGGAGAAAGAAUGCAAUGUCAUAUUUUGUUGGACAUAACGCUAUAUGGAUAUUUUGAGAAAGCACUACUUGAAAAACUACUAAGCAAAAUUGCAUCCAAGUAUGAUAUCUAUGUAUCUAUUACAAUAGAAACUAUAGCUGUUACUUGUAAUUUGUAAACUAAACAAUUGCAAGAAACUGUUAGUAGAUUAUAGACAGAAGUUUACUAUGUUGAAGAAGAGUUAAGAAAGUGCGUCCACAAAUUGUAAUAUUUGUCAGCUCCAUCAACCCACAAAGUUACAUUUACACUCAACAAUCAUCAGAGAAGGAACCAUCUUUACCCAUUAUCCACUAGGAUAAUGAAAUUACCUUUUGUCUCUUUUAACUUUCACUUUUUGCUUGUUCGUUAGUAUUACUGAAAAUUAGUCACCAUCCUAGGAAAAUGAGCGUGAUUGCUUUUUGUUUUUUGUUUUUUUUUUCUGAAGUAGGAUACUUAGAACAGUAUCUUCCAUAUGUCCUGUAAAGUAUUCAAAAAAUGUUGCAGUCAGUAUGCACAUGGCUAGGGUAUUAAAAUAUCCAUGCUUCAUAGGUUAUGAUCAUAUUCUGCAAUAGCUUGUAUAUUUGUCAAAAUCUUAACUGUUAAGAUCUUUGCUUCUAUGCCUAUGGCCUUUCUCUUAAGAAAAAAGAUGUCCAUUUCUAUAUAUUGACUUCAUUUGCACUUUAGAAUGAAUGAGCUCACAAGAAAUACUUCAAACAAAUUGAAAAACUUAAAUAGCAGACUGGACAUUUAGAACAUAAAUUUGGAACAAUCUAAACCUUGGAAGUUCUAUUCCUACUCAUAAUCUUGUUCUCUAUUAGUUUCUAAAAAGCUAUCAAAAGUGAUUACUUCGGUGAAUUCUGUAUGGCUGUAUUUCAUUUUGCUGAUAACUUGCUUGAAUACCUUUCUGUAAAAGAGCAAAUCCUUGCCUAUCAUUUUCAGCCCUAACUUUCUUCUUACUAGUAGGAUGAGCUAACUAGGUCGAUAAAUGCUGAAUUCUGUAAGCUAGGAUUUGUCUGAUAUCAGCACUAAUAUAAUAUGAACUUCUGUUGCAUUUCGCUAAACAUUUUACCAAGUCAAAGCAGCUUCUGUUAUGUGCAUAUAAUAUUGUUUUCACAGCCAUGCAAUUCUAUGUGCAGCUAUCUAUCUCUGAUGUUAAAAUCUAGAUGAUGAUGCAAUUUAGCUUCACCUAAUGAUCAUCAAUAUUCAAUGACUUCUUCAUCUUUAACUUCCAUGCAGAUUAUUGACAGAAGAUCCUCAUCAAAGGCUUGGAGCCCAAGGUGCAUCAGAGGUAUGUUUGUGCUAUAACAAGUUCAAGCAGCACUUUCAUCAAAAGAAAUGUGCUGAAAUUUAAGAUCUGUAUCUUUAAUUCUUUUUUGAUAAAUUUAACCUAUAUGUCAUUAAUUCUCUAAAAAGAGCUUUUCUUUCAGGUGAAACAGCAUGUCUUUUUCAAAGAUAUUAGCUGGGACACUAUAGCAAGGCAGAAGGUGGCAUAAACUGAAAUGACUUGCUUUCUUCCAAGAUAAUAUUGGUUGCAUGUUUUUCUGUUUUUGAUUAAGAAAUAUCUCAAGUCCUCCUUUUACAGGCUGCAUUUGUUCCCUCUUCAGACAGUGCACUUGAUACUAGCUAUUUCACUAGCCGUUACUCUUGGAAUCCAUCAGACGAACACAUCUAUGAAGCGAGUGAGUUUGAGGAUUCCAGUGAAAAUGGAAGUGUUAGUGGGAGUAGCAGUUGUGUAAGCAAUCGCCAAGAUGAAGUGGUACGAUCCCUACCAAAUGAAACUUAGGAAUCUUGUUCUGCUAACAGUUUCUUGCCGUAAUUCUCGGAUCAAACAAAUAAAAUGAUAAAUGUUUCAAUUGAAUUAUUACUAAUGUUCUGAUGGCAAUAGAUUUUUGUAUUCUUUUUCUCUUUUGCUGGAAAGUGCCUAAACUUAUUAAUUUGCAAAUCAUGACAAACAGGGGGACGAGUUUGGAGGGCUUGCUGAGUUUGAGUCUAGCUCAUCUGUCAAUUAUUCAUUCAGCAACUUUUCAUUCAAGGUAAAUAGACAGCUCACGAAUAUAAAAGUUUUCUCUUCUGUACAUCUGUUAAUUCUAUAUUUGAGGCACAAACAACUAUUGGUUAUACAUGAAUAUGUAUGUUUCAAAUAUCUUUUUCUGUGUUACGAUAAGCAUUACAGUCCUCUUUGAGGAGUUGGAAUUAUGUAGAAAGAGGAGAUAUCUUUUUGCAGAGUGAGUUGCUCUCAAAAUUAAUAUACUUAGUCGGAAAACAUUGACAUUAAAUUUCCGUUAGCAGUAGAACUCUCUUCCCACUUGUUUGAGCCUUUGUUCAAUUAUCCCUAUGUACUGUGACAAAGAUGGUCUGAUGUCUUAGCAAAGAAGAGACAAGGGUGAGAAGAAACUUGACAUGAAAUCUAAACUCACUGAAACAUUAUCCUUUUAAGAAGAUUUACGAUAAUUAGUAUCACAACAGCGGCACUCUCUACUUAGCUAUAAAGUGUGCAUUGAGAUAAAUAGCUAAAACAACAUCAAUUCUAGUGCAUAAACUGAGGUGGAUUAGAGUUUUAACGUCCUUAUAAUUAUUUUCUUUAUAUGUUGGAAAGUUGGAUCCAAUCAUGGGCUGACUAUUGGAUCUACUUGUUGUAAUGUCUUCCCAUAAAGUUAUGCCCUUUAUUUUUGGGUGAAAAAGAAAAGUAGUUUUCGGAUCGGCAAGUCUUCUUUAUUUUAUAUUCAAUAGAAAGUUCGGAGUUAUUAAGUGAUUUUUCUUACUAAACUUGAUGAUAUAUACCAUUUAGAUCAAAUUUACUACCUAUGAGUCGGCUAGUGUGCCAAUUGUGCUACUAGCAGGGUGCAGUGGCACGAACCAUGCUAAUGCCGAUUAGGUAUGCCUUGUGUCAUUGGCGUGGCGAUCCUUGUCAAGAUAAUAAUAUCCCAGAUGCUUGUCAGUCUUUUGCAACUAGGGUUGACCAAACUGCUGGCUGCAGAUCAAAAUUCGGAUAAAAAAAGAUCAGUGAAGUAAAUAAUUUGCAUAAGAAAACAAAAAUCUCUCUAGAAAUUAGCUAGUGUACCAUAGAGGAGCUGCUAAAGUGGCAAAACUUCGAGAAACAAAAGAAAGUAUGAUAUUUUUGAGACAUUACGAGGCUUAAUUGUGUAAUAGAUUUAUCUGGAAGAAAAUUAAAACUACAGAUUGUUGUUCAUGUAUACCAGGUUCAUGGAGGCUUUCAAAAAUAAUUUGAAUCAAGUCCAGAAAAGCCUUGAAAGUUUAGAAUCUUUUGAAUUUGCAAACUAUACCUCAAGGGCCACACAGAAGACUAGUUUUCUACUUUCAUUAUGAGAAUGUUAUAAAAACAAAAGAUACCAACACAUACUCUAAGCCAAAUGACUUUAUAUUGAUGGAUGCUGAUAGAAUCCCAAAGUGAAAGUUAUUGGAAGUUACUCCUCUUAUUCACUAUAAUCUACUAAAUGUUCUAUUGCGAAUCGCAUGUUAGGAGAUAUCAUCAAAUAAACAUCUAGAGGCACCUGCUAUAUUAGUAAGAAACUUUACUAUGCAGAACCGCAGAAUUUCUGAGCUACAUCUGUUUGAUUUUUGUCGCACCUGCAUGCUUUGUCCCUUCUGUACAUUCCUUCUAUAUGUAUACUGUACUGUAAAAUCAGCCUAGUCAUCUCGUUAAUGCUUUCAUCACUCCAUUAAAAGAUAACUUGGCAAAAUCUUGAAUGUUGUUGUAUCUAUUCAAAACAGUGAUAGGAGAGUUUUUCAUGCGUGACUUUGUGCUUCUUUGCGGGAAAAAAACAAUCUUAUUCCUGCUUAUGCAUCCAGGACCUUUAUGCUUAAAAAAUGUGAAAAUGUUCUCUCCAUGCUAUGUUCGUAUCUUAUGCUGGCAUUACAAUUUUUUAUUAACUCAUUAUGUGCUAAUUGGUAAACUCCAUUAAGUGCUUUUUCUAUUUGUACUUUGCCUUUUCUAGAGGGUUCCUUAGCUCCGAUAGGAUUAUUUCACUUUGCAUGCAGAGAUCCCAUCCUGGUAUAUUUUAACAUUAUUCUGUGGGAAGAACAUUGAUAAAAAAUUGAAACCAAAACAACUUGAAAUCUAUCCAUUUCGUUGUCACUUGAUUUCCGAAAAUUCAUCUUAAGCUGGUGUGAUUAGGAGUAAUUUUGGCAUAUAGACCAUACUCUGUGAUGGCUUUGUUCUUGAUUAAGAUUUUUAUUGUGUGCUUCCAUAUCUUUAUAUUCUUGAGUUUAAACUUGUUCCAUGCCAUUCAAAUUGAGUUCUGUUAAAUCUCUUUUGUAACCUUGAUCUCUUAACUUUAGAAAUACUUUUUUAGAUGCGUAGGUACACAACGUUAAAAAAUUAUAUAAGCUCAUUUUUCUAAUAUAACUUCUUAUCUAUCAUCAUGGUCCUAAUGCCUACGGUUUCGCUGCUUAAUUGGACAUUUGGACCACAUGUAAACAGCAAAAGCCUCAAUGAAAAUUGUCUUCAUGGAUCAUUAUCUUUAUUCUGCUUUAAUAGCUGAUUAAAUUGCUUCUUUCCCCUUUUAUUUUCAUUUAAAUUCUCCUUCUACUUUGAAUUGGAUAUAUACAGCUUGUGUGCUUUCAAAAGUACGGAGGCCUCUAUGCUAUUGAAUUAUUUUCGAUAAUAGGACGUCCGAUUCGAUGAUCGGCUUUGUUAGACAUGAUCUAUACUAUUAAAACUAUCUAGAAACCAAAUUUUAUAAUUUUUCGCCAUCAUUUGCCAAGUGAUCGAAAUAAUCUAAAAAAGGGCUAUUUUAAUGGCCGAUGUAGCACGUUUGUAAAUUCAACAGUGUAAAACAAUCAAAAUUAGGUGAAAUUUUAAUAGAAAAUUCCCUUUUACCAUCAAAAGCAAGAUCAAUACUUCUAAUUUGAAAUUUGUGUAUUCUACUACUGUUUUUUAUGAGUUUUUUAUUUUCAAUCAUUUAUUUUGAGACUGUUUGUUCGCUAGGCAAAUGAAGUUAAAAAAUAAUAAAAUUUGGUUCUAAUAGGGUAGUUUUUGUCUAACGGAGCCGAUGAUUGAAUCGAAUGUCCUUUUAUCGAAAACAAUUUUAAAGCAUAGAGGGCUUUCGAAAGCAUAUUGUUCUAUGUAUAUAUAUAUAUAUAGAGAGAGAGAGAGAGAGAGAGAGAGAGGUGCUAUUAAUAGCACCAAGCAUUUGAUGCUACCAACUUUUUCACUAUUAGAACUACCUCUUUGACUAUUUCUGCCCUUUAGAUCAUACUGUUCCACCAAUCACUAAAUCCUAGGAUGACCACUAUCAUCAUAACCCCACAACCCUUCAUUCAAGGGCCAAAAAAUCCUUAAGCACUAAUGAUUUAGUACUAUUAGAAGCAUUCCAGCCAAGUUCUAUAUGUGUGUGUGUGUGUGUGUGUGUGUGUGUGUGUGUUUGAUAUUGCAAUUAAAUCAUUCUUUAUACUAUUUUUCUGACCAUGUCAACAAAAUAACUGGACUGCAUUUCUGGUGAUAGAAUCUUUCCCAGCUUGCAUCAAUCAACUAUGAUCUGCUCAGCAAGGGCUUGAAAGAAGAUCUACCACCAAAACCAGGAAGUUGAAAAAGCAGUUCUGUCGGAAGUUUCUCAUUGAUUCAAAUUAAGCAGGAACCAUAAAGCACUUGAAAUGGAGCUUGUACAGCUUGUAAAUGUAAGCUUAUUACUUUAGCUCUUCAGUUUUGACUAUAAGGGCAUGUUUGGUUCAUGACUGAAAUGGAAAUGGGAAAUGGAAUCGGAUUGCAUUGAAAUAGAAAAUGGAAUCAUCCAAAAAUGUUUUGUUCAUUAUUUGAAUGGAAAUCGGAAUGAACAUCUAGGGUUUUGAGAGAACGUUUUGGUUAAAAGAGACUGAUGAUGUGAGAGGAAGGGGAGGUGUUUUUGAGAGAAGGAUUUGAGUGGUUUAUUUUGGAAUGAGUCAAUUCUGAAUUCAAAGCUGGAUUAAGUUAUAAAUAGAUUUGGCCAUUCCCAUUCCAGAGUGGAAUGGAAAUCGAAAUUCAAUUCUAGUAGAGCAAAUAAGAACUAUUGGUAUCAAUGAAUUUCAUUCCGAUUCCAUGGUGUAAAAUAGGGGACCCAGGCAAGCCCUAAGAGUUUUAUUAAUUCUGGGUUUACGUUAGUUCUUCCAGUUUCGUGUUAAUUCUGGGUUCUCUUUUUUUUUUUCUUUUUCUUUUUUUUUUUUUUUUUUGUUUCCCUCAGAUUGGAGCUCAAGACACAUGGCAAAAGCCUUUCUCCUCUCCCUAAGCUGCAGCAUUGUUGCGUGAAGUUGACCUACACUUUUAGCACCCAUGGUCUUGCGUAUUAGUGUUAUCAUUCACGGCAACAAGAGACAGCCUUGGCCAUCAUUUUUGUCCUUUUUGUGCUGAUGUUUUUACAGGGUAAGAUGGAUUAGCCUUAGAUUCUUCACCACCCCCAUCUUCCCUUAAAGCCAAGUGAGGUCAUGGUCCAUGUUUCUUUAAAAUUGAGGGAGAAAUAGAGAGAAAAAGAGAGGUAGGCUUUCAUUAUCCGGUUCUUGGCAUUGGAUGGAACAAAUGGUUAUUGAAGGUAAAAGGAUUCAGUUUUCCAUUUGGUUGAUCAAUUUUUGUGUUGCGCUUUAUGCUAUGUACCCUUCAUCUUUAUUCUUUGUUGGUGAAAUGUAUGGAGGCCACCUCAACUACAUAGCCCAUUCUGACAUAUAGACCCCCCGAAGUACUACCCUUUGUCAUUGAGAGAGGCCCCUCCUCUACUUUUGAUUAUUUCGUACAGAGAAAUUUUAGCCAGUUAAUUUGGAGAUUUUACGGAAUUGAUCGACUAUUUUAUCAGAAUUAAUUGAUUGAAUCCGCUAGAUUGAUUAACUUCUAAUAGUUAAUUAAGUGACUAAAUUAAUAAAAUUUUAACUUAAUGGGCUAUAAAUUUUAAUUUUUUUUUUAAAAAAAAAGAAAUCGGGGGGUUGUUAAUUAAAAGAAUUAAUCUAUUUCGAAAUGGCGCAGAGUUGAGGGGGUCUUCAUGUAUUUCUAUCCUUGUUUAGCUUUUACUGUAGCUUUAUUUAGGAAAUAAUUUUCGAUCUAAUCUUGUUGUGCUGAUUUGGAAAAAGAGACAGUUAAUUUUUUUUUAUUUUUUUUAUUUUUUAUUUUUUUCUGUUGACGUCACUGGCUGCAGUUUCGCUGCUGCUGCCGCCAUAGCCAUGCCACCUGUUAUCGCCGAUGGUGGUGUUUCCGCUGCCACCCUACCCUCUCUAGCGCCCCGUCUUCCCAUCCCUUUAUCUCCUCUUCCCAUCUCUCCCUCUUUCUGCUUUCGUUUUUCCUACUAGUCCGUCAUCGUCGUCUCGCCACCCCCUGCCGCCGCCGCCGCUCCUGUGGCGCCAGUCGCCGCUCCAUCCCUCUCGUCGUUGCCGCUCACCGUCAGCCACCGCACGCUGCUGCACAACCCAUUUUGUGUUCGCUCUUCCAUCAUCAUCAUCAUCAUCAUCAUCAUCAUUGUAGUGAGCUAACGACGAAAUCCUUACUAUUAAAAUACUAAUCACACUAGUAAACAAAUGUGACGUAUCUAAAUUAUCCACAAUCAAGAUAUGUUAGAUUAGAGUAAAUGAAGUUGAAAGAAAAAUAUCCUAACACAAUAACAACAAUACAAGAGGAUUUAUGUGGUUCACCCAAAUCAGGCUACAUCCACGGGCACGAAAAGGAUUACAAGAUUUGGUUAGAAAUUACCACUCUAUUAUAAUGGACUUGUGACCUUCUAAUUAAGAAAAUCUUUUUUGCUAUACAUUCAUCUAAGCACCUUUUAAAUCCGCAAAACCCGCUUUGAAAUGCCUCUUAGAAUUUCUCUAAUCAACCUGGAAGCUUUUGAAUCAAGCAAGAAAAACAAGAGAGCUAUUUCUCCAACCCUCUCUACACCUCUCUUCUCUAUCUCAAGAAAAGGAAAAUCUAGAGAGCAACCCAAAGAGAUUCUCUCUUAACAUUACUUGGCCCAAUAUACCAAAUAGGCCAACUAAAGUCCAAACCAAUUAUUAACUAGCCCAUUAGUCCAAACCAAUUAUUAACUAGCCUAUUAUAUGAGUUGUUGAACUAAAUCUAAAAUAAAUUAAUUAGGCUAAUAAUUGAAUUUGAUGUCACUAACCCAACAAUCAUUAUCAUCAUAAUUACUAUUAUUAUAAUGCCGGUCACCUCGCAAUGCCGCCGCCUCGCCGUUAGCCUGCGGGGCCUAUAAUUUCUAUGUUAGUUUCUUGCCACCAUGAAUAAGAAGACUGUAGCGGCACAAUACUUUCCAACAUCCAAAGAGCAGUUCGCCUUUUUCUUUUUUUUUUUUCUUUUUUUUUUCUUCUUUGCAUGCCGUACAUGCUGAAACUUUUUUUUUUUUUGUUUUUGUUUCUUCUUUGCAUGCUGUAUGAUUUCGAUUUUUGUACCCCAUUUGUAGGAGGCGAUUUUUUGCUCGUGGUUCAUCAUCGUUCACGAUCUGCAAGAAAACGGAACGUUUCGAGUCUAAUCCCUUAUUCCCGGAGAUUGAGCCGUCACAGAAAAUUGAAUUAGAAUUAGAUCUGAACUCCCGUAUGUUAUAUAUUUAUAUAUAACUUAAUAUAAGAAUAUUAAAUCACAUUCGCCCAUCAAGGACGUGUCCAUAUACAUCCUAACCGUUAUAUCUACCAUAUUUUUAUAGAUCAGUUUGAAUAAACCGACUGUAUUUUUAUAGAUCGUUUUGAAUAAAUCACAUAGGCCACAUCCAAUAUUAUCUCACUUGGCCUAGUGAUAUAUUUAUAAAACACCACCACAAAAUAAAUUUCUUUUCUCGUAUGUUAGAAAUUAAUCGGUACAUCACAAAAACGUAGCGGAAGGUAAUUUUUUAUUUUAAAAUUUUUCAGAAGCUAAAUAUAUAUCACAUAUGAAAAUCAAAAUCUAAGAAAUUAAUCUAGUGCCAGCAGAUUAUUCUUAUAUUAUUAUGCAAAAAAUUUAAUCUAAAUAAAAGCUCUUUAUAUUUAGUGAUCUUAUCGUGGAUCAGUUAAGAUUUCUUGAUUUACUGUGCGGUAGGUAGUAUAUGUUUCGAUCAUUAAUUUAAGGUUCUGUUAUAGCUGCACACGUGUUCGACCUCUACGCGCAUACACACAAAAUCCACGCAUACCCGAUCGAUUCUCAUCUCACGAACCGGAUGAGUUGUGAACCAUUUGGACGAUACUAGCAAUCCCUUCAUGAUUUACCAGCCGACGAAGAAUAGAGAAGUUGAUCGGAAAAAGAUACGUGCGUGGCAGACAAAUCGAAAAGUGAUUGAUGUUAUAUGCGUAUACAUACAAAAUCCUCAAAUUAAUUAAGGAGCAUGGCACUUUAAUUAAGGUAGACUUUCAAUCUUAUGGCACUAUGUGCCGUACGGCUUCUGCCCUUUUUAAAAAUUUUUUUUUUUAAUCUCACAACUUUUUGUACGUAUACAUUUACACCUAUAUGUACAUAUAGAAAUCCAUUUGGUAAAAUCUUAUCUAAUAAGAUUUUCUCUCUUCAAUAAAAUUAGGAAAAACUUCAAAUAUCCUCUCUGUGGUUUCACUUUUUCUCACUUUAAUAUCCUGUGGUUUAAAGUGUAUCAAGUUAAUACUCUGUGGUUUUGUACUUUCUCACUUUAGUACCCUGUGGUUUCAAGUGUAUCAAGUUAGUAUCCUGUGGUUUUGCACUUUUUCACUUUAAUAUCCUGUAUUUUAAUAUUUCAUUAAGAGAAAAAUAAAAUCACAGGAUACUAACUUGAUACAAAAAUAAAACUACAGAGUAUUAACUUGAUACACUUUAAACCACAGGGUACUAAAGUGAGAAAGUGCGAAACCACAGGGUACUAACUUGAUAUAUUUUAAACCACAGGGUAAUAAAAUGAAAAAGUGCGAAACCACGGGGGGUUUUCGAAGUUUUUCCAUAAAAUUAAGUAAUUAAAUAUUCAUACUUAUCUAACUAAAUCAAAUCCAGGUAAAAUCUUAUCUUAUAAGAUAUUAUGAAUAUUUAAUUAUUCUCUAAUCCAAUUAGAGAUAAAUAUUAAUUUACUUCGUAUUUAAUUAGAUCUUAUCUAAUUUUAUCCUUAUCUAAUAAGAUUAUUUACUAAAUAUUUAAAUCUCGUUUAAGUAUCUUUUAUGAUUAAAUAUUAUCCACUAAUCCAAUUAGGGAUAAAUUUAAAUCUCGCACAUAAUUUUCAAACUGAUUCUAAGAUACUAAUCUAAUUAGGAUUGUCAGUAAUAACUGACUUGAAUAAUUAAAUCUAAUUUAAUUAACCAGCUUUCUCUUGUUUUCAUCGCUUACACUAAACUCUUUAGUGAACGACUCUCAUCCAAAAGAUUCGAGUGCACACAAUUCCUAAUGCGUAUGAUCGCAUAGGUUCAUUACCAUUCAGCAGUGAAGCUCAACAUCAAACUUCUUGAUAUUUAGUUAGAACUCUUCUAAUCGAUAAAUAAUAAUAAUUCAAUUCAAAUCAUUCAUAUUCUCUCACCGUCCGUGAGCACUGAGUAACACCAAGCAGUAUAUCACGACAAUCCAGAAUGGUGGUAACGAAUGAAUCCUUCUGCUUACAGUUGCCGUGUGACUAAUUCCUUCCAACAUACAAUGUCCCAAUCGAAUUAAGAUCAUGGUUACUCGUCAAACCUUAUCAUUAGACUAUAUGAUUAGAAUAUUUGAAAUCAACUCAAUAUAAUAAAACAAUUGGAAGCUCUUUUCACAUACAAUGUACCUAGGCCAGGGAUUUUCCGAGUCAAGUCUGAUAAACUGUAUAGAACAUUCUCCAUCAUCAUUGAGAGUAUUGGAUUUCUUAUUUCUCAUUUAUAUGCCUCACCGCAUAAAUCACUACAGUCAAUCAGUACCGAAUAUAGACCCGUGUCCAGAGUCUAAAUAUUAGGACUGUCAAAUUGUAGCAACCUAUACGUGAAAUAACUAUAAUGCCUCAGAUCUGAGGAGUAUUUCACACAAUUGUAGUAAUAAACUUAUCACUGGCAAGCAUGAAACAAUAUGACUGUUCAACUAAAUAGUCACACUAAGUGUACUUGUUCUCUAGCAAGCACCUAUAUGCUUGUUUUAGUGUCCUUACAUUAGUGACUUGAGAUUCGUCACCUCAAUUAGAAACAUAGUAUACUGCGGCCUAUACGAAAUAUUACCGUCCCUGUAAUAUUUCUCUGGCUAAGAGUAUUUAAAAAGUCUCGUACAAAAAUAUACAUAUCUCAAAUUUCUAUGUCACGCCCCGGGGUCCCUUUUAGUUUAAAACAUAGCGGAAAAGCGUCUGAAUUUUUUUUUUUUUUUUGAAAAGCCUGACCCCAGAGUAUGCCAGAUCCGCCACAAACACAGGGAAUCCACUGUUCACACGGACAGAGUCUCCCCUAUAUUUGCACGGCGUCACACAAGUACAAGAANUCAACAGAGAGUUUAGUUGCACUGUCAAAAAAUCUCAGUCCUUACAUUCUAACUCUUAGAAAUAUGCCUUUUUAAACAAAGACUCUAUGGACGAUUCCUACCAAUAUUGCAUAGAUAUGAAUAGAAUAUCUGUUCUCAUAUUAUGAAUUAUAAAUGAUUAAUAUAUAAAUACCCUUAAGCUAGUAUCACCAGAUUGGCUUUUGGACAUAUAACUAACAAUCUCCUACUUACAAUAAAGCCAAACAUUCACAUAUUUAUAUGCGUCAUUUAAAGUCAACUCUUCAACCCUUAGAGAGUAAACUUUUUAACUAGUGCAUCCAUUGAACUAUUCAUGAUUAUUAUUUUCUACUUAGCAAUAUUAUUGGAAGUAUAAAUCAUUUCCAUCCACAAAAUAUGUCUCGAUCAUUGAUGAGAUCUAGACUCUAUAUGAACCAUAUCGAGUUCUAAACUCCAUGAAUCAGAAUAUAUUCUUUAGAACAUCUCAUGCAGUGCCACACUUAGCCCACAUGAUAUCUUGUUCGAACUCUUCAAGCAAUAUCAACUUUAAUGAAAUCUCUCUUUUCUCUCUUCAGUGUCAAUGCUUCACAAGUAUCAAGUAAUAUCUAUCAUUAACAUUUACUGUAUCAAUCGUCGUACAUAGAAUAAUAUAUGUGUAGGUUCUAAAUAUCGAAUCAUAAAGGAUCCUAUAUAAGUGUAUCCUUUCUUACAAUAUCACACAUACUGUUAGAGACGACUUCCUCCCAAAGGAUAAUAAUGUCUCUCGUUAGAAUUCAAUCUUAUUGAUCUCUUCAACAUAAUCUUCUAUGGACGUAGUUCAAGCAAUUUAUCAGACCUAUCUCUAUAGACCCGUAUUCUUCAUAUGAAAAUAUAUAACUAGAUUUUUCAUCGAGAAGUUCUUGACAAUCAAUAUUAUCAUACAGAUUAAGUUUCUUAAAUAUCAAAUAUUGCUUAUGUACAAUACGUAAAGCACAUUCUAUUGUCAUGCCUCGGGGCCGAUUUUAAAAGCCUUUUUAUAACGAUUACCAUUUCAGAAAUCAGAGUUGCGGAAAACGUGUCUUUUUUUUUGGAAUGCAACCUGGCCCACGUGAUGUACAAACCCGCCACAAAUACAAAGUUCCUCUAUCCACUCGGACAGAGUCUCCUUUGUAUUUGCACGGCGUACAAACAACAACAUCAGGAUCUCAACAACAACCUACAUUUACAAUCCACAAUCAAUUCAUGUCAUACAUUUUCAUAUAGCUAGCGAUCCUUAGAGAUGAUGCAUGCCCCAAACACUCUUUUGGCGCUGGAUGAUGCAAUGCACGGUACAACAAUCAUCCUAUUUAAAAGUACUCCCCACCCAGAAGCUUUGUUUUUAAACUCUAAUUCAAUCAUUUACAAAAACCAUUCGAAAAUUCUUUUAAAAAUUGUUUCCCACUCAGAAACUCUAUUUUGAAAACCUACUACUUCGAAGGGUAGAAAACCACAAAGUAUACAUAAAUCCAAGAACCAUUAUUCAUAAAACCAAAACCACAGAUCUAAAAUCUCCAAUCACAUGCAUAACAGGAAAUCACCAACUCAACAGUUCAUAAAUAUUCAAACAGUAUUAUUGAUCAUCUAACUAAACCAUUUAAUUAUUAAAUUACUAAAAGCAGAAAUGAAACAUAACUAGGGUGACGGUCGCGACUGCAGUCUAGCUAGUACGUCCUCCCGUCAUGCCCGAAAGCUAACUCCUUGUCCGGACCACCUAGGGAAAUCACUACAACAAAAACGGUCUAUAGCGACACUUUUAAAUGUAGUUACAUGUCAACAAAGUGCUGCUAGCUAAAAUUACCGACACUUUUAAAAAGUGUUGCUAUAUGUGGGGUUGCUAGGUAUAUACUGACAGUUAAAGAGUGUCGCUAUAACCUAAAAGAGUGCUGCUAAUUUACGAACACUUAUUUAAGCAUUUAGCAACCGCCGAAACUCUAUCUCGUUGGCUGCGGUGGCGGAGGAGGACGACAGUAAAGGUUCUUCGUCUAGAAUUUCAGUGGAUUGAGUGAAGAGAGAAGAAAAGAUGGUAAUUGAUUUUUUUUUUUCCUUUUCUGUUUGUAAUCGGGCCAAAUGGACUGAGUGUGGUGGGUUGAGUAGAGUAAUCUUUUAUUUUUGGUUGGAUUGGGCUUUAUAUUUAGGCAUUAGUAGAUGCGUUUUUAAGUUUUAGCAUAAAUGUGACACUUACUCAAAAGUGUCCCAAACAUGUGUCCCUAUAACCUAAUUCUGUUGUA